rnacentral:tRNA from 1 species
GGAAGAGCGACGUCCCCGGUGGGGCGCCUGGUCUUCAACACCAGUGAGGCGCUGACAAAGUGCCUGGUGGGUUCGACUCCUACCUCUUCCGCCA